AGAGUUUGAUCAUGGCUCAGAUUGAACGCUGGCGGCAGGCCUAACACAUGCAAGUCGAGCGGUAGCACAGAGAGCUUGCUCUCGGGUGACGAGCGGCGGACGGGUGAGUAAUGUCUGGGAAACUGCCUGAUGGAGGGGGAUAACUACUGGAAACGGUAGCUAAUACCGCAUAAUGUCGCAAGACCAAAGUGGGGGACCUUCGGGCCUCAUGCCAUCAGAUGUGCCCAGAUGGGAUUAGCUUGUAGGUGGGGUAACGGCUCACCUAGGCGACGAUCCCUAGCUGGUCUGAGAGGAUGACCAGCCACACUGGAACUGAGACACGGUCCAGACUCCUACGGGAGGCAGCAGUGGGGAAUAUUGCACAAUGGGCGCAAGCCUGAUGCAGCCAUGCCGCGUGUGUGAAGAAGGCCUUCGGGUUGUAAAGCACUUUCAGCGGGGAGGAAGGCGGUGAGGUUAAUAACCUCAUCGAUUGACGUUACCCGCAGAAGAAGCACCGGCUAACUCCGUGCCAGCAGCCGCGGUAAUACGGAGGGUGCAAGCGUUAAUCGGAAUUACUGGGCGUAAAGCGCACGCAGGCGGUCUGUCAAGUCGGAUGUGAAAUCCCCGGGCUCAACCUGGGAACUGCAUUCGAAACUGGCAGGCUAGAGUCUUGUAGAGGGGGGUAGAAUUCCAGGUGUAGCGGUGAAAUGCGUAGAGAUCUGGAGGAAUACCGGUGGCGAAGGCGGCCCCCUGGACAAAGACUGACGCUCAGGUGCGAAAGCGUGGGGAGCAAACAGGAUUAGAUACCCUGGUAGUCCACGCCGUAAACGAUGUCGAUUUGGAGGUUGUGCCCUUGAGGCGUGGCUUCCGGAGCUAACGCGUUAAAUCGACCGCCUGGGGAGUACGGCCGCAAGGUUAAAACUCAAAUGAAUUGACGGGGGCCCGCACAAGCGGUGGAGCAUGUGGUUUAAUUCGAUGCAACGCGAAGAACCUUACCUGGUCUUGACAUCCACAGAACUUUCCAGAGAUGGAUUGGUGCCUUCGGGAACUGUGAGACAGGUGCUGCAUGGCUGUCGUCAGCUCGUGUUGUGAAAUGUUGGGUUAAGUCCCGCAACGAGCGCAACCCUUAUCCUUUGUUGCCAGCGGUCCGGCCGGGAACUCAAAGGAGACUGCCAGUGAUAAACUGGAGGAAGGUGGGGAUGACGUCAAGUCAUCAUGGCCCUUACGACCAGGGCUACACACGUGCUACAAUGGCAUAUACAAAGAGAAGCGACCUCGCGAGAGCAAGCGGACCUCAUAAAGUAUGUCGUAGUCCGGAUUGGAGUCUGCAACUCGACUCCAUGAAGUCGGAAUCGCUAGUAAUCGUAGAUCAGAAUGCUACGGUGAAUACGUUCCCGGGCCUUGUACACACCGCCCGUCACACCAUGGGAGUGGGUUGCAAAAGAAGUAGGUAGCUUAACCUUCGGGAGGGCGCUUACCACUUUGUGAUUCAUGACUGGGGUGAAGUCGUAACAAGGUAACCGUAGGGGAACCUGCGGUUGGAUCACCU
rnacentral:rRNA from 8 species